GAUAAACGCUGGCGGCGCACAUAAGACAUGCAAGUCGAACGGACUUAACUUCAUUCUUUACGAUUGAAGAGCGGUUAGUGGCGGACUGGUGAGUAACACGUAAGCAACCUGCCUAUCAGAGGGGAAUAACAGCGAGAAAUCGUUGCUAAUACCGCAUAAGCUGAUAGUAUCGCAUGAUACAGUCAGAAAAGGAGCAAUCCGCUGAUAGAUGGGCGUGCGUCUGAUUAGCUAGUUGGUGGGGUAACGGCCUACCAAGGGGAAGAUCAGUAGCCGAGCUGAGAGGCUCAACGGCCACAUUGGGACUGAGAUACGGCCCAGACUCCUACGGGAGGCAGCAGUCGGGAAUAUUGCGCAAUGGAGGAAACUCUGACGCAGUGACGCCGCGUAUAGGAAGAAGGUUUUCGGAUUGUAAACUAUUGUCAUUAGGGAAGAAAAAAGACUGUACCUAAGGAGGAAGCCCCGGCUAACUAUGUGCCAGCCGCCGCGGUAACAC
rnacentral:rRNA from 1 species